UGCUUUGCCCUAAAAAGAUAUCACUUUCCUCUCAUGUGGAUUAUCUCUGAUUAAUGCUUUAUUUAUUUUCUACUGCUGUGUAACAAACUGCUACAAAUUUAGCAACUUAAAAUAACAUCCAUUUGUUAUCUCAUAGUUCUGUAGAUCAGAUGUCUGGGCAGGCUUAGCUGGGUUCCUGCUCAAGGUCUCUGGAAGCCAAAGUCAAGAUGUCAGGCAGGCUGGGCUCUCAUCUGGAGUAUCUGGAGGAGAUCAGCUGCCAGGCUUAUUCAGGAUGUUGACAAGACUCAGUUACUGGCAGUUGUAGCACUGAGGGUCCCAUCUCCUUGCUGGCUAUUAUCAAGGGGCAGCUCUCAGCUUCCAGAGGCUAGAUCAGUCCUUGCCACAUGGGACCCUCAAUCUUUAAGCCAGGAUCAAAUCCUCCUCAGACUUGGAGUUUCCAUAACUUAAUCCUCUGUAACCAGCUAGAGACAAGUCUAUGGUGUUGAAGGGCUCAUGUGAUUAUGUUAGGCCCACCAAGAUCAUCUCUUUUAUACCAUACAUAGUCAUGGAAGUGAUAUCUCAUUAUAUUCACGGAUUCUAACCACACUCAAAGGCGAGGAGACGACACAAGGGUGAGAGUCACUGGCACUAAUUUUAGGAUUCUGCCUACCACAAGUGCUAUGAUUUUCAGCAGUAACAGUGACAGAGCUUUUAAAUGAACUGAGGGAGAAAAAUGGGGCAGGGAUAGUUCAGGGUCAUCUGAAGAGUUACAUUUGGGAAAUCUCCCUCCUGGGACAUUAAACUUUUUCUAUAUCAAGUUCAAAAUCACCUCAAGGGCACAGACACUCACGAAACAUGAACACUAACCCAAUUAGAAGGCACAUGGGCCUUGAUAGAAGCAAGAACAGGUUCCCGAGCAGGCAGAACUGUGAGCAGGCCCAGGGGGACAUAAGCCAACACUCACCUGGUUCUGACCUGGGAGGUCAUGACACAGAAGCCCCAGGCCUUAGAGAUCAUGAGAUAUCAGCAGAAGAUCAGGACAUCCAAUAGACAUUCAAUGGGUUCAGAAAAGGAAUAUUUUCUUCUCCGUGGGCUUCGCUAGGAAAUUUGAAGACUGGCUCAGCCUCCAAUGGGAAGGAAAAGUCUAGGUCAGUGGGAGGCAAAGAGGAGGGACUUAAUAGUUAGAGAAGAGACUAAACCCAGCGAUCUGAGGCUGUCAACUGAGCAUUCCAGCUGAGACCUUAUCCACCAGUUGGAGGGGCCCAAGAGAAGGGUCAGUUCCCCUUUAGUAAAGAGCUGAAUUCAGACACACCAGGACUUAGACAUCUGAGCUACUCACAUUGUAGACAGUAGCCAAUAUAUUUACUAAUUAUAAUAAUGUAUACAACAGAUUUCAGCAAAGUGCCUCGUUCUAACUCAGCAAGCACAUUUUGAUAAUUUUCUGACAGAAGGAAGUAAACGGUCUUGAAGAAGGAAGGAGCAGAGCUGUCAAGCUCAGCCAGAGGAGCUGGGCUUCCCUAGAAGGCUGCCCAGAGCAGCGGCUGCUCCACACGCCAGGUGUUUGCCCUUGGAGGCGGAAGAAGCAAAUAAUGGAAGAAAAUGAAGAGCUUUUGUUCCCAGCCAGUGCAGUACUCAGGUUUAGAAACCACGGAGGAAGUCUGGACUCCAUCUGAGCUAAACUGUGAGCUGCCUGGGUUUUGAAACAAUGAGGGGAGCAGGAGUGAAAGAAGGGGCUGUGACCCAAGAAAUGCAGUUCCUGAAGCUGGAAGAGGAAAGAAACAGAUUCCCUGGGAAACUUAUGUUGGAUUUCUAGCCUCCAGAACUGUGAGGAAAUACAUUUCCACCCUUUAGAGACAUCAAGUUGGUGAGAAUGUGUUGCAGUGGCCAUAGGAAAGUAAUACGGAGCCUCAGAAAAAGCCGCCCCCACUGACAGCUAGAUUGAAGCAGUUUUCUCAGACACAACUAGAUAGAGAUAAGGUAACAGAGACUCCAGUGACCACACAAACAAGGAAUAUAGUCCUUGUAAAAAAGUUUGGAAAAGUCACUAAACAAAUGGAUAACUGUACCACUCUACAAGAAAUAUGCCCAUCCCUUGGGCAGAGGGACAGCAUUAUUUCCAGAGCUACCACAUUACAAUAUGCAAAAUUCCCACUUUUCAUUGGAAAAUUGCAGGCACAAAGAAACAAAAAAAAUAUGAUCCAUUCACAGGGGGAAAAAUAAAUUGACAGAAAACAUUUUGAAGAAACACAGACAUUGUUCAUAUAAGACAAAAUGUAAAUUGGCUGUCUUUAAAAUAUUCAAAGAACUAAAGGAAAAUAUGAAAGGAACUCUGGAAAUCAAGAACAAUGUAUGAAAAAGUAGAUAAUAUCCAUAGAUAAACAGAAAUUAUAAUUUAGAAGCUAAAAAGUACAACAGCCGUCAUGAAAAUUCCACAAGAGAGAUUCAACAAUAGAUUGACCAGGCAGAAGAAAGAAUCAAUGAAUUUUCAGGGCAAAGAAAAGAAUCCAGUCUGAGGAGCAGAAAGAAAAAAGAAUGAAGAAAAUGAACAGAGCCUAAGGGACCCGUGGGAAACUAUCAAGAAUACUAACAGAUGCAUUAUGGGAGUCCCAGAAGGAGAAAAAGGAAAGGAUCAGAAAAAAAUAUGUGAAGAAAUAAUGGCCCAAAACUUCCUAAAUCUGGUGAAACAUAGGAAUAUGCAAAUCCAGGAAGCUCAACAAAUUUCAAGGAGGACAAACUCAGAGAUCGACACUGAGAUACACUAUAAUCAAACUGUCAAAUGCCAAGAUA